rnacentral:misc_RNA from 1 species
GAUGAAGAACGCAGCGAAAUGCGAUAAGUAAUGUGAAUUGCAGAAUUCAGUGAAUCAUCGAAUCUUUGAACGCACAUUGCGCCCCCUGGUAUUCCGGGGGGCAUGCCUGUCCGAGCGUCAUUACAACCCUCAAGCUCAGCUUGGUGUUGGGCCCCGCCGCCCCGGCGGGCCCUAAAGUCAGUGGCGGUGCCGUCCGGCUCCGAGCGUAGUAAUUCUUCUCGCUCUGGAGGUCCGGUCGUGUGCUCGCCAGCAACCCCCAAUUUUUUUCAGGUUGACCUGGGAUCAGGUAGGGAUACCCGCUGAACUUAAGCAUAUCAAUAAGCGGGGGA